UUCUCAAUUCUUAUAACUUCUUAGCUCAAAAUGGGCUAUCUUACUCUUUUAUGAUUAAGGGAGGCAUCUGCUAAGUUUUGUUUUCCUACCCUAAUCAGUUAAGGCAGCUAGCUUUAACUGCUAUCCACUAUACUUUGAGGUAACAUAAUAUGUAACAACAACACCGUUCGACCUCCAGUAAACUCAAUCGUCAACUAUUUUUGGAUAGCCUUGUCAGAGAUGAUAGUCACACGCAAAUCGCUUGACCAGAAUUCUUGUUUGAGAGUUAAUAUUUGAGUUUUCUUGGGGUGUAAAAUUCUAUUUCCUUAGUUCUUCUUUUGGUUUGUUCUGAUUUGCAAUCACUUGAUAGACGUAUUAAAUUUCUAAUACUAUAAAAUUUCGUAGAGGUAUUUCUGUUUCUAUGAGCUUUUCUCCUUUAUGUGCUCGAGUAUUAAUCAAUAUUCCUUGAUAUCAGAAGAUGAGUUUGAUUUUGAAGACGCAGCAUGAGAUCAUUUUUUUUUACUUAUUUAUACAACUAAGGGCGUAUAAUUAAACUAAGAAAUUAUACUAUUUCAAUGAGCUGAUCUUUCAAUUGUUCUACAAUUUGAUCAUUUUAUAUUUGAAUAAUGUUAUGCCAAAAAGAUAUCCAAAGUUAUAUACUUCGUAAUAUGAUCUUCUCUUAUCAGCUUUUAGUAUGUGAAAUAGAAGCUGAGUAGAGAAUCUUAGCAUAUAUGUCCAAUUAUCUUUGCAGCUUUGCUAAAUUAUUAAGUUGACAAUCUCAGGUCAGCCUUUAUCUUUGUGUUCUUAUCGAUAUUCUUUUUAAUUGCAGAUUGUGAGAUUUAUUUCUGUGCUACUGAAAGUUGGCUGUGAAGUUGCCGAGAAAGAGUUGAUCAGAUCUGGUCAAAACAUAUUUUAGAUAAUUUCUACCACGUGAUUAGUGUUUGACAAAGUGGAAGAAGAAAAAAGAUUUUACUAGGAGGAAGAAGUUAAGUUCCGUAGCAUGACUAAGCUGUCAUCUACUGGUAUUAUCAAGAUUUUCCUAUUUUUGGCAAGACAUCGAUUCAAUCUUUCAAGGAUUAGGUUACAACAAAGCCAUCAGAAGUUAUAAUGCAUGGACUCGCUACAUACGGAUUCCAGAAUAGCAAAAUAAGUGAUGUGAAAAGAAGUAACAAGCAGUGAAUUAACUAAGCAAUAAAUUAUGAGAAUUCUGUCAUGUAAUGGAAAAUGCGAGUGAUGCAAUUAAAAAUGUGGCCACAAAUCAAUUUGACCUAUUGACGUGAAUGAUGCAUACUUUUUGAACAAUUGUGACGUUUAUUGUUAUUGAUAUUGUGGCCCCUACUGCCGGUCGGCAAGCGGACGACGGAUGCAUGCGUCGUUUCUAGCCCGGAUUCUGACUUAGAGGCGUUGGCUAAUGGGUACUGACUUGGUCCGGGAUGCUUUGGAUAAGGUUAAGAUGAUUCAGGAACGGCUUCGCAUAGUGCACUCUAGACAGAAGAGUUAUGCCAAUAGGAAGGUCUGUGAUGUUGCUUACAUGGUUGGGGAGAAGGUACUGCUCAAGGAUUCCCAAAGUUCAAAAUUUAAUUUGGCCUAGAUAAUUUUUAUUGACCUAAAUAAUGUUCAAAAUUUAAUUUUCAAUUUAUUAUUAUUUGAUGAAAUACAUUCGGUUUUGUAAAGUUCAUUGCUUGUGAACUUCUUGAAAUAGUAGUGCUUUAUUAGUAUGGGUAUAGUACUACGCAAAUUAUAUUUUUUUUGUUGAA